AUGUACUUGUGUUUGCAACCAAAGAACACUGAUUUUGCACAAUUAUUCCUUAAUACAGAUAAAGGAGGCAGAAUUCCAUUCAGUCUUUGUGUAUUUUAUUUACAGACAUGGCUAAAAAUUAUUACAUGUGAGAAGAGACAUUACAAAAUCUUUUGGAAAACAAUAAACAUUUACAUAUUAGAUGUGAGCAUGGUAUAUAAUUCUCCAAAAGGGCUGCUCAGGCUAAGAAAUCUAAAAAGAAGAAAGCGAAAGGCGAGAGCUGUGUUGAGGAGCCGCACUGGGUGGAGGUGGUUGUUGAGAUCCUGCUGUCGCUCCUGUCUCAGCCCAGUCGUCUCAUUCGCAGUGUGUGUAAAGCUGUGUUUAGCCGGAUCUGUCCUCACCUCACCCAAGAGGCACUCAGCUCCAUCCUGAACGUAAGAGACUGCUGACUAAUUAACAGUGCUAUUUUAGUAUUAGUUACAUACUAUUAUGAUAACAUUUCGAAUCAGCUUAUAGAGAUUGCUAAGACAUGUGACCAACUGGGCGGCAACGUCAUCAGAACGCAAAGAAUUAUGGGUAUGUUUGGCCAGUUUACAUGGGUAGGCAUAACAGGCUAGUGUUCUGGCAUGAAAAUAAUGAAAAAUUAGCGUGAAAAACAGAAUAUAAUCGUACAAAAUGCAGCGGACUAAAGAAAACAUUGUCGUACCAUACCGCCUAAAACUAAAUCCUAAUGCAAAGACGAGAUAUGACGAGAAAAAAAGGGAAUCAAAAGACUGGAUCCUUACGAGCAGAGCGACUGGUCAAGGGACGUCAAACUGUUGCCCAACUUCCAGCACCCAUAUAUUUACAACUACAUGAUACUAAGUGUUAGUGCAUACACACACGAAGUUUUCUAUGGACUUUUUAAUAAUGUAAAUGUAUUCAUCUAAAUGUGUUUACAUGUUAAAUAUGUAAAGAAACUGAAAUUACAUUGGAUUGUUACUACUAUUUAAGUUAUGUAAUUGUGUUUGCAACCAAAGAACACUGAUUUUGCACAAUUCUUCCUUAAUACAGAUAAAGGAGGCAGAAUUUCAUUCGGUCUUUGUGUAUUUUAUUUACAGACAUGGCUAAAAAUCAUUACAUGUGAGAAGAGACAUUACAAAAUCUUUUGGAAAACAAUAAACAUUUACAUAUUAGAUGUGAGCAUGGUAUAUAAUUCUCCAAAAGGGCUUGAACCGGUCUGUGUUCGUAGUUUUGACCUCAGUAUGGCCGAGGUACAGAGAAGGGGUCCAGUCAGGAUCACACUCCAACAUUUCAUAGGCAGGUUUGCCUGCAAACAGAGUCACCAAAUAAAUUGCUAUGUAGCCUAGAUGUACAACAUUUAAAACUGAUUAACGUUACGCUUUAGUACGUUGGUAACUUAAGCUCAUCUUCUAGCCAUUUCAUGCUACUUAACAGUUAACAGUGGCCUAACGUCAAAUCUAAUGGUCUGGUCGAGUCACACAAAACAGACUGGUUAUUUGCCCACAACAUAACAUUUACAGAGAGUAAUUGUAACUUACCUUUGUGAAAAUGCUUUGAACACACCAUCGUGUGUGGUGGAGUGUUAUCGAAGGUAAUCUUGGGCUCCUUACUGCUGCUAUCCAUGCCAUUCGUCAGCUUUUUGUCACCUCUGAAACAUGGCUUGUACUAUUAUUUUCCACGCUGGAAAACGAUAAAAGGAUAUUCCGUUCUUAAGCUUUACGCCACUUCUAUUCCAGUUUAUAACAGCGUUCUUCCCUCCAUGCAUAGAAGUCUGGCGCGUUAUGCACCUCUGAAACAUGGCUUGUACUAUUAUUUUUCCACGCUGGAAAACGAUAAAAGGAUAUUCCGUUCUUAAGCUUUACGCCACUUCUAUUCCAGUUUAUAACAGCGUUCUUCCCUCCAUGCAUAGAAGUCUGGCGCGUUAUGUUUGUGCCACGGUUUCCCAAAAUGCUUUGCGUUCACCACUGGGAAUACGUCAUGAUGACGACACAUUAGCAAUCUCUAUAGUGCCCUGCACCCUUUUUUACACUAGUAAAAAAUAUAUAUCUGGUGUCUGAUUAAUUUUUGGUUUGACUGUGGAUUAAAACUGCAAAGUAAUUCAGUCAAGAGCAGUGGGUGGUUUUCUUUCUUUCAUUUGGAUUAACGCUAAAGACACCGACAGCAGCUGGUAAAUUAUAGGCGCAGUCACUUUAAGAGACAAUGCAUCAUUAUAAUAACACACAUCCGAUUUCUUUCUCCGCUGUUUACUUUCACUUUAGACAUAACCGACAGUUUUUUUUUUCUCUCGAUGAUACUCUCCAAGACGGGUAUUUUGACAAUUUUGUAUGUAUUUGUCGGUACAAGAGCAAGGAGAGGCAAAUUUCGGUGUGCAAGCACUUUGAGACGCGCCCUGUGCGCGAGCUGAACUGUGCUCUUUCAAGUCUUUUCUGUUUGCUUGUUUAAACUGCGAAUUGUAUUUGUUCGUUCGUGUGAAGGAGAGCUCGGUUCGGUGUUGCUCUCUGCAUGCGCACCGUAUACGCGCGCGAGUGCUCGGUUGAGGUUUUCCGCGUCUUGUGUUUGAAUGCUUCAAACUCUUUUGAAUGUUUAAAUGGGCAAGGCUAAUAAACACGUGUACAUGAUAAGAUUUCGUGAUGAUGCACAGCCUGGUAACUCGUAACCACCCCCCCCCCCCCCCACGCGACGGCCCUGAUCCUAACAUUGCAUAUCAUAUGCACGCCAAAGUCAAUUUCUAAGUAUAAAUGGUUCGCUAAAUAGAUAUAGAAACUAGUGGUAUUGAUACGCAAUUUCACGAGCUCGGGUUAGAGUAAAACUGAGAAAGGCUUUUCAUACUUUGCAUGCCACGACAAAUGCUUUCAUGGUUUCACUCACACAUUAUUCACGAAACGAAAGUAGAUGCACGGUAAGUGUCCUGCCCUUCCUCUUCAGCUUCAGUGCGUGUGGAGCUGAGCAUCCGAGCUGUGUCUGAGUCUCAUACUGUGACAUGUGUGCUCAUAAUCUGUGACAGCGCUCCUUCACUGGGUAAGACAAACCUCAGUCCACUUGCUGCGGGUGUUUAAAGGGCAUACACUGCGGUCUUGAGUCGAAUUCUGACUCGUGCGACUCUUUUCUGAGUCUCUUUUCUGUCUUUAGGGAAGCGGCUCUAUUGCAAGGUCUUCUGCAUGUGAACAUUAAUAUUAUAGAUCAGAUUAUCUACAGGCAAAAUGAGACUCAGACACUUGUUAAACUUGUAUGAGGAGAGUUCUGGUUGAGUUUGUUUUGGGUUAACAGCGCUGUUUGAUCUGCAGUUGUUGUAAUGAUAGAAUAUUGGCUUAUUUUGUACAGAUCAUGAUGCUAGGAGUUGUUUUGUUGAAUAGAUUAGACGAUUCACACAUCUACUUUAUUUCUUCAAGUUGGGUUGAUCUUGCAUUACUACUUAUUUACAGUAAACUAAGAGACUGCGGGACUUGUUUGUUCAACCCUUGCGUGGACUGAGAAAGCAGUUUCUACAAACAUUUGAGGGAUAACAGGACUAGUAGAGGAUAAUGUAGUCAUAACACUUGGCUUUUCACCAAAGAAAUGAUUAUGUAGACAUAAAAUAUUGAUUUGAGUUUAAACUGUUUUAAAAUCUUACCUGUAAUGGAUAAUUUUAUAUAUAUUCAUAAUCUAAAAAUUAAAUUACUAUAGAUACAAAAGUCCUUUUGAUUUUUGAUUUGAAUGAUUUCUUUGCAUUAAAAAUUAGCGUCAAGAUAUGGAGACAGCAGGGGAAAAAAUUGAGCUUAAAGAUACCUGUACACUGGUUAGAAUGAGUCACAUGCAUUGGUCAUACUGAGAUAAAAGAUGUAGGAAAAUAACACAGUUUCUACUGUAACUACUGUCAGAUUGAUUACACACAGUGGGGUCAAAUCUAAAUUGCAGUAAAACCGUGUGAACUCCUUUGUGCAGACAAGGCCUCUUGAUGAUGCUUUCUGCUCAUCUCAAAUCAUACUGGAGAACAAGAUCAAAAGGUUUUGUCAUCAGUUACAUCGGGGAAGGACAAAUUUUAAACCUCAAUUUCAAACCUUUUUUUUCUUCUUAAUGUACAAUUUACAUAUCACAUUUUUUUCCCCCUCAAAAUGUGCAGAUAAUAUCAUUUGUAAUAAAAUGUUUGCAUUAAAUAAAAGAAAAAAGGGAAGCAUUUUAACUAGUGCCCUUUCUGCCUUUUUGCGGUUUAUUGAUGACAUGAAACUCACAGUCUGUAUUUAUUGAUACAGAGGACUGUGAACUUUGAUGUUUAAGCAAAUGGAAAUUGAAAGCAAUAUAGAGUUCUUAAAAAUCAUGUGAGUGUUUGAAUGUUAUGCAGUAAUUGUUUAAUUCUUUCCUCUUUGCAGGCAUCAUCUCAGAAUGAAGUGUCCUGAAUGCAAGCAUGUGUUUUCAGUAAAGGCACCAAAAUUCUGCUAUGAGUGUGGCUACAAGCUGUCAUCUCCGUCAAAUCAGACAGCACCAGGUAAGUGAUCACAUUUCUCUCCUUACGAUUUUCCAUUCAGAACUCUGCACAUUAUUGUUGUUGCACACGCAUCACUGCUUGUAUAUUACUUUUUCACAAUGCAUUAGUUGUUUGCAGUCGUUGUAAAUUAUUUUAAUAGGUUUGCAUUAGUCAUACAUUUUUACUAAUCAGAUGGACAUUUGCCUGAACUGUUGCUAUAAAAGAAUUUCACAUUUUAAUUUUACUGUCAAAUAGACAAACAUUUAGGCCUUAUCCACACUAAUACGUUUUUGUUUAAACAACUUUUUCUCUCUGUUUUGGCCUUCCAUUCACACUGAGACUGUGGUUUUGUUUAAUAGAAUGAUAACCCACACCCCGUGCUCUUCUUUUUUCUUCAAGCAUAGGGUGUAUCCAAUAACACUGUCCUUUUCUUUUCCUUUCCUCAUUUAAUAAAACAAAAAUUUGUCCUUGGUGCUGCUGGUAGAGAAACUCAUUUUCUUUCUUUUUCUGCACUUCCAGAAUUAAAUCACUGAGGGUGCCACUGACAUUUGCUGUGGUUAUCACUUUUGAGGGGGAAUCACGCAUAAAUAUGUAGAUGUCAUUCUUGAAACUUUGCAGAGUGU
rnacentral:lncRNA from 1 species